GGCUACCACCAAGCACCUACACCAACAGCUAAUUGUACGAAGUAUAAACUGAUUGCUUUUUUUGGGGGAAAAAAAUAAAUAAAUAAAAUAAUGCUCGGCGCAGAGGAUACAGGAACCACUGUCAGACGACACCGGAACUGAUCGGCCGACUUGCUUCCCGACGAUACACGCAGUCGCCGUACAGAGGAGAAAUUGUGAGAGAAAGCAAUGUUUAAAUAAUCAUUCAGUGGCCUGACCACGCGGUUUAAAUUUUGCUACAACCACGCGCUUCUCCAGAGAGUCCAAAGCACGCAGAGCGUCAUUAUUUAUUAGUGGGUUUUCGGGUUAAAUCCGGCCGAAGGUCUAUG
rnacentral:lncRNA from 1 species